rnacentral:rRNA from 1 species
CGCCUUGUGAAAUUUUUUAUAUAGAAGGUCCCGCCUGCCCUGUGACCAAGUGUUUAACGGCCGCGGUAUUUUAACCGUGCGAAGGUAGCGCAAUCAAUUGUCUUUUAAAUGGAGACCUGUAUGAAUGGCAUAACGAGGGUUUAACUGUCUCUUUAUCCCUGUCAAUGAAACUGAUCUACCCGUGCAGAAGCGGGUAUGAAGAUACAAGACGAGAAGACCCUAUGGAGCUUUAGACGCCCACCACCUAUAACCCAGCAGGCCUUUUCUAUAGGUCCUUAAUAUUACGGGCUUGGCACAAACGUCUUCGGUUGGGGCGACCGCGGGAGAAAAGAAAGCUCCCAAGUGGAUUGGGUUAUUCCUAAAACCCAGAGCCGCACCUCUAAGUCACAAAACAUUUGACCAAAAAUGAUCCGGCUUCCUGCCGAUCAACGGACCAAGUUACCCUAGGGAUAACAGCGCAAUCCCCUCCCAGAGUUCAUAUCGACGAGGGGGUUUACGACCUCGAUGUUGGAUCAGGACAUCCUAAUGGUGCAGCCGCUAUUAAGGGUUCGUUUGUUCAACGAUUAAAGUCCU